rnacentral:pre_miRNA from 1 species
ACAACAUUCGGACCGUCGGUCUACCGAGCAAUAUCACCCGCUCGGUGAAAGAUCUUUCACUUCUUUU